rnacentral:rRNA from 1 species
UACGUAGGGUGCGAGCGUUAAUCGGAAUUACUGGGCGUAAAGUGUGCGCAGGCGGCCGAGCAAGUCGAGUGUGAAAGCCCCGAGCUUAACUUGGGAACUGCGCUCGAAACUACUUGGCUAGAGUGUGGCAGAGGGAGGUGGAAUUCCACGUGUAGCGGUGAAAUGCGUAGAUAUCGGAAGGAACAUCAGUGGCGAAAGCGACUUCCUGGACCAAUACUGACGCUCAUGUGCGAAAGCGUGGGGAGCAAACAGG